rnacentral:rRNA from 1 species
UUGACCUCGGAUCAGGUAGGGAUACCCGCUGAACUUAAGCAUAUCAAUAAGCGGAGGAAAAGAAACCAACAGGGAUUGCCCUAGUAACGGCGAGUGAAGCGGCAACAGCUCAAAUUUGAAAUCUGGCGCAAGCCCGAGUUGUAAUUUGUAGAGGAUGCUUCAGGGCAGCGGCCGGUCUAAGUUCCUUGGAACAGGACGUCAUAGAGGGUGAGAAUCCCGUAUGCGACCGGUUGGCACCCGUCACGUAGCUCCUUCGACGAGUCGAGUUGUUUGGGAAUGCAGCUCUAAAUGGGAGGUAAAUUUCUUCUAAAGCUAAAUACCGGCCAGAGACCGAUAGCGCACAAGUAGAGUGAUCGAAAGAUGAAAAGCACUUUGGAAAGAGAGUUAAAAAGCACGUGAAAUUGUUGAAAGGGAAGCGCAUGCAACCAGACUUGUCGGCGGUGUUCCGCCGGUCUUCUGACCGGUCUACUCGCCGCCGGCAGGCCAGCAUCAUCUGGGUGCGCCGGACAAAGGCGCGGGGAAUGUAGCUCCUCGGAGUGUUAUAGCCCCGCGCACAAUACGGCGCCGCCCGGGUGAGGUCCGCGCUUCGGCUAGGAUGCUGGCGUAAUGGUUGUAUGCGGCCCGUCUUGAAACACGGACCAAGGAGUCUAACAUCUAUGCGAGUGUUCGGGUGUCAAACCCCUACGCGGAAUGAAAGUGAACGGAGGUGGGAAGCGCAAGCUGCACCAUCGACCGAUCCUGAUGUCUUCGGAUGGAUUUGAGUAAGAGCAUAGCUGUUGGGACCCGAAAGAUGGUGAACUAUGCCUGAAUAGGGUGAAGCCAGAGGAAACUCUGGUGGAGGCUCGCAGCGGUUCUGACGUGCAAAUCGAUCGUCAAAUUUGGGUAUAGGGGCGAAAGACUAAUCGAACCAU